UAUAUACUCCCUCCGUCCUAAAAUUAUUGUCUUAGAUUUAUUUAGAUUAAAUGUAUCUAGUCACGUUUUAGUAUUUUGAUACAUCCAUCUCUAUGCAAAACUAAGACAGUAAUUUUGGAACAAAAUGAGUAUAUU
rnacentral:pre_miRNA from 1 species